rnacentral:rRNA from 1 species
GGAUUAGAUACCCUGGUAGUCCACGCCGUAAACAAUGGAUACUAGGUGUUUGGGAAGUUAACCUCCUGAGUACUGAAGCUAACGCAUUAAGUAUCCCGCCUGGGGAGUACGGUCGCAAGGCUAAAACUCAAAGGAAUUGACGGGGGCCCGCACAAGCGGUGGAGUAUGUGGUUUAAUUCGAAGCAACGCGCAGAACCUUACCUACCCUUAACAUUUGGUGCUAAUCGCAGAGAUGUGAUGUUCUCUUCGGAGACGCCAGGAUAGGUGCUGCAUGGCUGUCGUCAGCUCGUGCCG